UACGUAGGGUGCGAGCGUUAAUCGGAAUUACUGGGCGUAAAGCGUGCGCAGGCGGUUGUGCAAGACCGAUGUGAAAUCCCCGGGCUUAACCUGGGAACUGCAUUGGUGACUGCAUUGCUGGAGUAUGGCAGAGGGGGGUGGAAUUCCACGUGUAGCAGUGAAAUUCGUAGAUAUUGGGAGGAACACCGGUGGCGAAGGCGGCUCCCUGGUCCGAUACUGACGCUCAUGUGCGAAAGCGUGGGGAGCAAACAGG
rnacentral:rRNA from 1 species